rnacentral:rRNA from 1 species
UGUUUUAUCUGCCAACAAAAUCACAAGGUUAACAACUAUGCAGCCUGGUCUAAGGUACAACUCACUGCAGCUUUCUUUGGAAGUGGAGCUCAAGGGCUUGGUUUUUGCCAUGUUGAUGUGCCCAUAGCUAAGGAGUCAAAAUGGUUGAACUUUCAAAAUUGCGCUAUGGUGAAUAUUCUGAAAGGAGAAGUGGACUGCUCCAAACUGAUGGAACUCUUAACUGCAACAUUCUGCAAGACUAGACAAUGGCCUUGGCAAAUCAGGAGGCUGUGCAGUAAGACCCUUUUGGUCAGGUUUCCCCCUUGGAAGAAAGUGGAAGAUCUUAUUGAGUUGCCUGGGUUUUCCCUCCCUCAAGAUGUGAAUGUCACCCUAACUGAAUGGAAGGGUGGGUGUGAACCUUUUGGGGAACUGAUUGAAGCUUGGGUUCUGAUUGAGGGCAUUCCUCCUAAGUGGUGCACAUGGAAAGUUUUUGCUCAAAUUGCUUCCCCUUUUGGGGUGUUAACUAAUGUUGACUGGAAUGGCAUGUUCAGGAGUUUCUUUGAAAAUGUCAGAAUUAAAACUGCCUGUAGAGAUCCUACUAAGAUACCCUUUGAGAGGCUGAUUGAGAUGAAGAAGAAACUAUUCCUGCUGGGCUUUACUGUUGAGGGCUUUGAACAAGUGGGUGGAGUGGACUCUGUCAUUGAUAUAUAUGAUGAUGAGGAUGGUGAUGAGGAAGAAGAGCCGAAGAGGAUCAAACAGAAGAGGGCAGAGAGGCUCAUGGAGAACAUACAUCUAAUGGUUCAGGAUAUGGUGGUCUGGCUAUUGAUGAGCUAG